UACGUAGGGUGCAAGCGUUAAUCGGAAUUACUGGGCGUAAAGCGUGCGCAGGCGGUUGUGCAAGACAGAUGUGAAAUCCCCGGGCUCAACCUGGGAAUUGCAUUUGUGACUGCACGGCUAGAGUGUGUCAGAGGGGGGUAGAAUUCCACGUGUAGCAGUGAAAUGCGUAGAGAUGUGGAGGAAUACCGAUGGCGAAGGCAGCCCCCCUGGGAUAACACUGACGCUCAUGCACGAAAGCGUGGGGAGCGAACAGG
rnacentral:rRNA from 1 species